GAUGAACGCUGGCGGCGUGCCUAAUACAUGCAAGUCGAGCGAACGGACGAGAAGCUUGCUUUUCUGACGUUAGCGGCGGACGGGUGAGUAACACGUGGAUAACCUACCUAUAAGACUGGGAUAACUUCGGGAAACCGGAGCUAAUACCGGAUAAUAUUUUGAACCGCAUGGUUCAAAAGUGAAAGACGGUCUUGCUGUCACUUAUAGAUGGAUCCGCGCUGCAUUAGCUAGUUGGUAAGGUAACGGCUUACCAAGGCAACGAUGCAUAGCCGACCUGAGAGGGUGAUCGGCCACACUGGAACUGAGACACGGUCCAGACUCCUACGGGAGGCAGCAGUAGGGAAUCUUCCGCAAUGGGCGAAAGCCUGACGGAGCAACGCCGCGUGAGUGAUGAAGGUCUUCGGAUCGUAAAACUCUGUUAUUAGGGAAGAACAUAUGUGUAAGUAACUGUGCACGUCUUGACGGUACCUAAUCAGAAAGCCACGGCUAACUACGUG
rnacentral:rRNA from 1 species